rnacentral:rRNA from 1 species
GACGUAGGGCGCGAGCGUUGUCCGGAUUUAUUGGGCGUAAAGAGCUCGUAGGCGGUUGGGUAAGUCGGGUGUGAAAACUCCAGGCUCAACUUGGAGACGCCACCCGAUACUGCUCUGACUUGAGUUCGGUAGGGGAGUGGGGAAUUCCUGGUGUAGCGGUGAAAUGCGCAGAUAUCAGGAGGAACACCGGUGGCGAAGGCGCCACUCUGGGCCGAAACUGACGCUGAGGAGCGAAAGCGUGGGUAGCAAACAGG